rnacentral:lncRNA from 1 species
GGGAGCUCAGGGAUGGGCUGGGAUCUGGAAGGAACUGCAGGUUUGUUGGGCUGUAUGUUGGCAGAAAUAUAUACAGAUCCCUGGGAUGAAGUCCUGACUAAACCUCAUUGUGCUAUACUGGGAGAUAGGAGUGAGGAAGUGUAUGAAGCCUAAUGUGGUCCUUGAAGUGACCUUUAGCAGGGCCUCUGCUAAAGCAGUAGAAACUGUUUCAGUAUAUGAAUGAUCUCUUUCAACGCCCUGGCCUCAGAAGUAUGGAUUGACAAUGAGAAAAAGCAGAUUAUCAAGUACCAUGGAAUGUCAGAAAAUGAAUGAGAAUUGACGAGGGAAAUAUUGAUUUCCUAGGAACAAUAAACACUAGGCCAGGGAAUAAUCAAGUGCAGAAA